rnacentral:rRNA from 1 species
UACGUAGGGUCCGAGCGUUGUCCGGAAUUACUGGGCGUAAAGAGCUCGUAGGCGGUCUGUCGCGUCGAUCGUGAAAACUUGGGGCUUAACCCUGAGCUUGCGGUCGAUACGGGCAUGACUGGAGUUCGGCAGGGGAGACUGGAAUUCCUGGUGUAGCGGUGAAAUGCGCAGAUAUCAGGAGGAACACCGGUGGCGAAGGCGGGUCUCUGGGCCGAUACUGACGCUGAGGAGCGAAAGCGUGGGGAGCGAACAAG